rnacentral:rRNA from 1 species
GCAAGUCGAGGGGUAACAGAGGUAGCUUGCUAUGCUGACGACCGGCGAACGGGUGCGUAACGCGUAUAGAAUCUGCCUUGUACAGGAGGAUAGCCUUUAGAAAUGAAGAUUAACACUCCAUAAUACUGAGAUGUGGCAUCACAAUUUAGUUAAACAUUUAUGGGUACAAGAUGACUAUGCGUCCUAUUAGCUAGAUGGUAAGGUAACGGCUUACCAUGGCAACGAUAGGUAGGGGGUCUGAGAGGAUUAUC